AUUGAACGCUGGCGGCAGGCCUAACACAUGCAAGUCGAACGAGUGGCGGACGGGUGAGUAAUGUCUGGGAAACUGCCUGAUGGAGGGGGCUAACUACUGGAAACGGUAGCUAAUACCGCAUACCAUCGGAUGUGCCCAGAUGGGAUUAGCUAGUAGGUGUGGUAAAGGCUCACCUAGGCGACGAUCCCUAGCUGGUCUGCGAGGAUGACCAGCAACACUGGAACUGAGACACGGGCCAGACUCCACGGGGAGGCAGCAGUGGGGAAGAUUGGAAAAUGGGCGCAAGCCUGAUGCAGCCAUGCCGGUGGUAUGAAGAAGGCUUUCGGGUUUUAAAGUACUUUCAGCGGGGAGGCGUUACCCGCAGAAGAAGCACCGGCUAACUCCGUGCCAGCAGCCGCGGUAAUAC
rnacentral:rRNA from 1 species